rnacentral:tRNA from 1 species
CGGAACAUAGCGCAGCUGGGUAGCGUACCAUCUUGGGGUGAUGGGGGUCGUGGGUUCGAAUCCCGCUGUUCCGA